UACGUAGGGGGCUAGCGUUGUCCGGAAUCAUUGGGCGUAAAGCGCGUGUAGGCGGUCCGGUAAGUCCGCUGUGAAAGUCGGGGGCUCAACCCUCGGAUGCCGGUGGAUACUGUCGGGCUUGAGUACGGAAGAGGCGAGUGGAAUUCCUGGUGUAGCGGUGAAAUGCGCAGAUAUCAGGAGGAUCACCAAUUGCGAAGGCAGCUCGCUGGGACGUUACUGACGCUGAGACGCGAAAGCGUGGGGAGCAAACAGG
rnacentral:rRNA from 1 species